ACACCGAUGGUGAAGCGGUUAUCAUGCUUGCCUUCCAUAACCAAGAUGUUGCGUGAAGCAAGCGGCAGGGGUUCGACUCCCCUUCGGUGUA